rnacentral:rRNA from 1 species
GACGAACGCUGGCGGCGUGCUUAACACAUGCAAGUCGUACGGUAAGGCCCUUUCGGGGGUACACGAGUGGCGAACGGGUGAGUAACACGUGAGUAACCUGCCCCCAACUUUGGGAUAACGCUAGGAAACUGGUGCUAAUACUGGAUAUGUGCUCCUGCUGCAUGGUGGGGGUUGGAAAGCUCCGGCGGUUGUGGAUGGACUCGCGGCCUAUCAGCUUGCUGGGGGGGUAGUGGCCUACCAAGGCGGCGACGGGUAGCCGGCCUGAGAGGGUGACCGGCCACAUUGGGACUGAGAGACGGCCCAGACUCCGACGGGAGGCAGCAGGGGGGAAUAUUGCACAAGGGGCGCAAGCCUGAUGCAGCAGCGCCGCGUGCGGGAUGACGGCCUUCGGGUUGUAAACCGCUUGCAGCAGGGACGAAGCUUUUUGUGACGGUACCUGCAGAGGAAGCACCGGCUAACUACGUG